rnacentral:rRNA from 1 species
CAUGCAAGUCGAACGAUGAACCACUUCGGUGGGGAUUAGUGGCGAACGGGUGAGUAACACGUGGGCAAUCUGCCCUGCACUCUGGGACAAGCCCUGGAAACGGGGUCUAAUACCGGAUACUGACCCGCCUGGGCAUCCAGGCGGUUCGAAAGCUCCGGCGGUGCAGGAUGAGCCCGCGGCCUAUCAGCUUGUUGGUGAGGUAAUGGCUCACCAAGGCGACGACGGGUAGCCGGCCUGAGAGGGCGACCGGCCACACUGGGACUGAGACACGGCCCAGACUCCUACGGGAGGCAGCAGUGGGGAAUAUUGCACAAUGGGCGAAAGCCUGAUGCAGCGACGCCGCGUGAGGGAUGACGGCCUUCGGGUUGUAAACCUCUUUCAGCAGGGAAGAAGCGAAAGUGACGGUACCUGCAGAAGAAGCGCCGGCUAACUACGUGCCAGCAGCCCGGGGUAAUUCA